UGCCCGGAGCCGAGUCACCAUCGAUGAGAGGAAUAGGAGUACAAGAAAACGGAUUAGAAACUAAUCGAAGGUGUCACAUGUUUCGCUUCUUCAAAAGGAUGACUGAAAAAGUAGUUUGAAGUUUAAAAAAAAAAUGGAAACAUAUACAUAAAAACUAACAACAGUAAAUAAAACAGAAUUUUGACAAAACGUAUGAAAGUAAACAAAUAAACAAAACAAAACAAAAUAAAUGUGAAAAUAAAGAUUUUGAACAAAAACAAAACCAAAAUCAAAACACCUUAUUCAAAGCCAAAAUAAAUGAAUGAAACCAAUUUAUAAAAGGAACAAUAAAACUGUCAAAAAAUAACAGAAAGUACAAUCACCAUCAUACAAAAAAAAACAGAAAUUUGGACAAAUGAUUUCACGCAUGAACUUUGCAAGGUACAUGGGACAGACGUACAUAAUCUAGGAGACAAAAAAAAACAGGAGCACAAUGAUCUGAAAAGUGAAACGAUAGCUUGAGCGUAUUUUUCGCAGUUAUUGGUUGCUUUUGGCACAGGGUGUACGAAGGACACAAAGGGGGUUGGUUCGGGACAGAACACGGGAGCAUUUGCAUUUGCUUGCUGUGGCCGUGGCUGGUUGUCAACGAGAUGGGCAUAGGGUUGGUGGAAAUUGUACUUGCAGUUUGCUUGUUCGCUAGACAUAUACGCUUUGCCUAAGAAUAGCAAAACUCCGUUACGUGGCAAUAGAGCGCCCGGGGACAGUGGUUGUAUGCGAAACGUAAAACGUGAAGGUUGCAGUGGUUUUGUUUUAAAAUGUUCGUCCCCAAACUGAGUUUGGAGUUUUGGAGCGUUUGUGCCGUUGGUGUUGUGAUGGGAAUGAACGAGGAGAAUGCGGCUGUGUUUGUGCAUGUAUGAGUGUGUGUGUGUAUAUGUUUUCAAUGUGGUAAGGUUGGUUGCAUACAAGGCACAACUUCUGCUUGUCACUCGGACGUAGAAAGGACGUACCGGUCGUACAUUGCAAAUGAGUAUCAAUGCAAAACAUACAAUCGGGUGGAGGGGAACUCCCCUUGGUGCCAUUCUAGAGGUUGUAGUUUUGUAUGUUUUGUGGUUUUUACCGUACGGUGGAAGCGGCAGUGAAGCAGUGCAGAACCAACAUGUUUUAGAAAACCCCCGUUGAAAGGCAGAAGGCAAGCAGAAAAUUGUUGUACCAUGUUUGCGUGGGGUUUAAAUGCAUUUUCUGUGUGCGUGUAUGUGUGUAUAUGGGCAACCAGAGAUGAAAAAAAAGCAAGACACGCCGAGUUGGUGGAAUGUGGGAUUUUGGAUAAGCUCAGAAUUGUGUGUCAGAAAAACGGCAAGCGUGGAUUUUUGUUGAUUUUUCUGAUAAGCAAAGCAAUUUGUUGCAACGGCAGGCGGGGAGAAUGAAGAGAAGCGAUGAUAUGUAAAAAAAAUGCAAACUCAAAAAGGAACGUAUCUAAAGAAGGCAAAAAACGGAUUUCCUAAAAUUGCUCAAGCAUUGAGCUAGGACGGCUAAAUGAAAUGCAAAGGCUGGCACGGUUGUGUACCAUGCAACGGGACCGUUUAUGGUGGUUCGAAGCGGCUACUAACAUUUGUGUUUAGUUUUUGUGACUGCUGUAUUUACAAAUGUUGAAUAAAUGAAUAAUUAAAUAAUACAAAUUUUCAAAAACCAACAAAAACGUACAACUGUACAAAAUGAACGAAAAACAACACAAAGCAGCGUACAACUGGAAACCAACAAAAAGCAAACCACAGCCAAUCAUGGCACCUUAAACUAUUUACUCGCGCGGUGUUGCUAAGCGGAUGCGGUGCUGAUGAGACACGUAAGCAGAAUAAAUUAAUAAACGUUACCAGCAUCACGCUGUAGCCAAUGGCAUAAAAAUGUAAACUAACCAAAUUUACUAAGUUAAAUUACAAGCUACAUUAAAUGCACAUUUACUACGAGAUGCGCUUCGAACGUGCUGGCAAACAACAAUAGUGCGGUCGGGUUUUAAUAUCGAAGGACAAGGAACGUCAUUUACCUGGGUUGUGAUGGUGACUUUUAACAUUCGUUUGUUUUGGAAUUUAAAACUAACAGGUACUUUAAAAAUAUGGAUUUAGCAAGCAAGAUAAUCAACGAGAGGAGAAAAGUGCGCAAAAUAGUGCGGAUGUGCAUGUAUUAUUGAUUUUAGGUCACCAAACGACCGGGCGUCUCCAUUUAUCAAGGCGUCUUCAAAGAACUAGGCGUCUCCAUUAAACUAAAAUGUCCUCUAAAUAAUAUGUAGACCAUUAUCAGACUGACUCAGUACUUUAAGAGCUUGAAGCUUAUAAAAUAUGAUUUAAAAUUACAUAUUGAUAUAAUACUAGUUUAACUCUGAAGAAACGGUUCAACUAUUAGACAUGAAUUGAUUUUUUAAAUAUAUUUUUGGUAAACUUUUGGAAACAUCAACAUUUAAUUUCCCUUUUAACACUUUAAGCGCCGUGUCAUAUAAAUUCGCAUGACGGUUUUGCUCACCGUUCAGCUUUGCAUCUGACGCUCAGUGAUUCUCUCGAGAACGAAUAAGGUAGGAAAGAGAGAACGAGAAUGACAUGUGCUACGCCGCUUAUCGCCAUGAAACAAAAGAGUGAUAACAAUGGCACGAGAAACAGUCGCUCUCAUCGCUCUCUUGCCAUGCGCUACGUGCUCACUCAAAAACUGUGACGUCAGGCCGGCGGUCAAAUUGUUAAAUCGCAUUUUGCAUAACGACACAUACACACAUACCACACACACAACGGCAAUCAGGUGGUUUAAUUUUGUUAUCUCAUCUACUCUGCCCCCUCCGUCCUCAACACGAUGUAUAUAUGUGUGUGUGUGUGUGCAGCAUGGAGAGGGUGUUUCGAUUUAGAUUAAUGUUAUUAUUAAUUUUCGCUGCUCGUUCUCUCUGUGUCUCUUUUUUCUUAUUUUUUGAAAGAAGCAUGCGAAUUGUUAUGCCGCACAGAACUGUGAGUUUUCGUUUGUUUGUUUACGCUUAACGCAAAUGGGGUUUGUGUUUUUGUGGUUUGAAUAUUAUCCUUACUACAAGUAUCCUAAAACACGCAUACACACACAUACGCAAACAGACAGCACAUUCGGGCGUGUUUGCUUCUAUGGUGCCACUGUCUUGCUCUAUUCCGCCGCUUCGGCGAUCAAGGAGCCUGUGGUUUCGUGAUUUUGCAACGAAGUGCGUGCACACACUCACACACAAACACACACACACACAUACAGACACUUUUACAUGCAAUGUUUCAAACAUUCAGAAUUGAAUUCGAGCCAGGAAAAACUUGCGCCAACGAUGGAGUUUUUUGUUUUGUUUGCAGUAGCCGGUACGAAAAUCGGCACGAAAAAAUGUAACAUUCUGCAUUGCGAAUGGCAGUAGUGUGGCAGAGUGUGUAACAACGAACGACAAAAGACAAAGCAAAAAAGACAACAACCAGCAGCAAAAACCGAACCUGCGACGCCGAACGUCGGCCGCGAAACAACAACAGAUCUUCCGUUCUCAACUAUGUGUGUUACACCUUUGUUUUUGUUGCUCUCUCUUCCACAUUUGUCAAAGCGUCGAAUCGUGUGCGUGGUGGUGUGUUUCCGUCCCGCAAACACAGUGUUUAUUAAGCGCCAGUGGCCAAAGCAAGGAUGCCUCCGUUGUUUGUUUGUUUUUUUAAUGUUUUUUUGAUGUUUUACACUCGGGCGCGCGCUCUCGGGCCGGUACACAUAUACGGGGGACGACGACGACGAC